UACGUAGGGGGCAAGCGUUGUCCGGAUUUAUUGGGCGUAAAGAGCGUGUAGGCGGCUAUACAGGUCCGCUGUGAAAACUCGAGGCUCAACCUCGAGACGUCGGUGGAAACCGUAUGGCUAGAGUCCGGAAGAGGAGAGUGGAAUUCCUGGUGUAGCGGUGAAAUGCGCAGAUAUCAGGAGGAACACCGGUGGCGAAGGCGGAUCUCUGGGCCGAUACUGACGCUGAGGAGCGAAAGCGUGGGGAGCGAACAGG
rnacentral:rRNA from 1 species